rnacentral:ncRNA from 6 species
UCGUGUCUUGUGUUGCAGCCAGU